rnacentral:misc_RNA from 1 species
GUCCGCCGCAAGGGCCGCCGGCCUCCGCCGCUUCUCCACCAUCUCCGCCUUCAAUCCCCCACCUCCCGCCGCUGCAAUACCGGAGGCGGAGCCGAGCAACAACCUCUUCGUCUCAGGGCUCAGUAAGCGGACGACGACCGAGGGACUCAGGGAUGCUUUUGCACAGUUCGGUGAAGUUGUACAUGCUAGAGUGAUAACUGAUAGAAUGUCUGGCUAUUCCAAGGGAUUUGGAUUUGUGAAAUAUGCUACGCUGGAGGAAGCUGCCGCGGGCAAACAAGGCAUGGAUGGCAAAUUUCUGGAUGGCUGGGUUAUAUUUGCCGAGUAUGCCAGACCCAGACCACCUCCAUCGGAGCAGCAGCAGCAACAGCAAUCAGCCGGGGGCUAUCAGUACUAGUGCUCGGGAACACAAGCAUUAUGGGUCCGAAGUUUGAUUCGAUUCUAUAACCUGG